AUUGAACGCUGGCGGCAUGCCUUACACAUGCAAGUCGAACGGCAGCACGGGUGCUUGCACCUGGUGGCGAGUGGCGAACGGGUGAGUAAUAUAUCGGAACGUACCUUAUUGUGGGGGAUAACGCAGCGAAAGCUGUGCUAAUACCGCAUAAUCCCUAAGGGGGAAAGCGGGGGACCGUAAGGCCUCGCGCAAUUAGAGCGGCCGAUACCUGAUUAGCUAGUUGGUGAGGUAAAGGCUCACCAAGGCAACGAUCGGUAGCUGGUCUGAGAGGACGAUCAGCCACACUGGGACUGAGACACGGCCCAGACUCCUACGGGAGGCAGCAGUGGGGAAUUUUGGACAAUGGGGGCAGCCCUGAUCCAGCAAUGCCGCGUGAGUGAAGAAGGCCUUCGGGUUGUAAAGCUCUUUUGUCAGGGAAGAAACAGCAGCUCUAACACAGUAUGCGAAUGACGGUACCUGAAGAAUAAGCACCGGCUAACUACGUGCCAGCCGCCGCAGUAA
rnacentral:rRNA from 1 species